AGAGUUUGAUCAUGGCUCAGAUUGAACGCUGGCGGCAGGCCUAACACAUGCAAGUCGAACGGUAACAGGAAGCAGCUUGCUGCUUCGCUGACGAGUGGCGGACGGGUGAGUAAUGUCUGGGAAGCUGCCUGAUGGAGGGGGAUAACUACUGGAAACGGUAGCUAAUACCGCAUAAUGUCGCAAGACCAAAGAGGGGGACCUUCGGGCCUCUUGCCAUCGGAUGUGCCCAGAUGGGAUUAGCUUGUUGGUGGGGUAACGGCUCACCAAGGCGACGAUCCCUAGCUGGUCUGAGAGGAUGACCAGCCACACUGGAACUGAGACACGGUCCAGACUCCUACGGGAGGCAGCAGUGGGGAAUAUUGCACAAUGGGCGCAAGCCUGAUGCAGCCAUGCCGCGUGUAUGAAGAAGGCCUUCGGGUUGUAAAGUACUUUCAGCGGGGAGGAAGGGAGUAAAGUUAAUACCUUUGCUCAUUGACGUUACCCGCAGAAGAAGCACCGGCUAACUCCGUGCCAGCAGCCGCGGUAAUACGGAGGGUGCAAGCGUUAAUCGGAAUUACUGGGCGUAAAGCGCACGCAGGCGGUUUGUUAAGUCAGAUGUGAAAUCCCCGGGCUCAACCUGGGAACUGCAUCUGAUACUGGCAAGCUUGAGUCUCGUAGAGGGGGGUAGAAUUCCAGGUGUAGCGGUGAAAUGCGUAGAGAUCUGGAGGAAUACCGGUGGCGAAGGCGGCCCCCUGGACGAAGACUGACGCUCAGGUGCGAAAGCGUGGGGAGCAAACAGGAUUAGAUACCCUGGUAGUCCACGCCGUAAACGAUGUCGACUUGGAGGUUGUGCCCUUGAGGCGUGGCUUCCGGAGCUAACGCGUUAAGUCGACCGCCUGGGGAGUACGGCCGCAAGGUUAAAACUCAAAUGAAUUGACGGGGGCCCGCACAAGCGGUGGAGCAUGUGGUUUAAUUCGAUGCAACGCGAAGAACCUUACCUGGUCUUGACAUCCACGGAAGUUUUCAGAGAUGAGAAUGUGCCUUCGGGAACCGUGAGACAGGUGCUGCAUGGCUGUCGUCAGCUCGUGUUGUGAAAUGUUGGGUUAAGUCCCGCAACGAGCGCAACCCUUAUCCUUUGUUGCCAGCGGUCCGGCCGGGAACUCAAAGGAGACUGCCAGUGAUAAACUGGAGGAAGGUGGGGAUGACGUCAAGUCAUCAUGGCCCUUACGACCAGGGCUACACACGUGCUACAAUGGCGCAUACAAAGAGAAGCGACCUCGCGAGAGCAAGCGGACCUCAUAAAGUGCGUCGUAGUCCGGAUUGGAGUCUGCAACUCGACUCCAUGAAGUCGGAAUCGCUAGUAAUCGUGGAUCAGAAUGCCACGGUGAAUACGUUCCCGGGCCUUGUACACACCGCCCGUCACACCAUGGGAGUGGGUUGCAAAAGAAGUAGGUAGCUUAACCUUCGGGAGGGCGCUUACCACUUUGUGAUUCAUGACUGGGGUGAAGUCGAACAAGGUAACCGUAGGGGAACCUGCGGUUG
rnacentral:rRNA from 1 species